CCCAGGAGCCACAAGUGGCAACCGCUUUUAUUGGGCCUAAAGCGUCCGUAGCCGGCCUAGUAAAUUUCCUGUGAAAUCGUUGGGCUUAACCUAACGUCGUGCAGGAAAGACUACUAGGCUAGGGACUGGGAGGCGUCAGAGGUAUUCCUGAGGGAGCGGUAAAAUGCUAUAAUCUCAGGAGGACCCCCUGUGGCGAAGGCGUCUGACGAGAACGGAUCCGACGGUGAGGGACGAAAGCUAGGGGAGCAAACCGG
rnacentral:rRNA from 1 species